GCCAUGCGUGCUGGCGUCACGCAGCAGAGGCGUUCCUAUAAGAGCGCGGCUGAGGCCGUUGCGUUUCUUUUUCUCGGCGGGGUCAGCUGUUAGGUGCAGACGGGCAACUGGAGGCAGCAUGCCGGUGGCGCGGAGCUGGGUAUGUCGGAAAACCUAUGUGACCCCGCGGAGGCCCUUCGAGAAGUCUCGUCUUGAUCAAGAGCUGAAGCUGAUUGGCGAGUAUGGUCUCCGGAACAAACGUGAAGUCUGGAGGGUCAAGUUUACUCUGGCCAAGAUCCGCAAAGCUGCCCGGGAGUUGCUGACGCUGGACGAGAAGGACCCACGGCGUCUGUUUGAAGGAAAUGCAUUGCUGCGGCGACUGGUCCGCAUUGGAGUGCUGGAUGAGGGCAAGAUGAAGCUGGAUUACAUCCUGGGCCUGAAGAUCGAGGAUUUCUUGGAGAGGCGCCUGCAGACCCAGGUCUUUAAGCUGGGCUUGGCCAAGUCCAUCCACCACGCCCGGGUGCUGAUCCGGCAGCGCCACAUCAGUCCUCGGAGGUGGCAGGUGUGAGCUUACUUUGAGGGCCCAGAUUUGCCCCCUACCAACAGCUCAUGUCCCCAUAGCCCAGCGCAAGGGUCACUGCGGCGCAAGCCGUACACCUUGUGAAGGCUUCCGCCAAGCAUGUGUGCAGCUGGACAGGGUUCGCAAGCAGGUGGUGAACAUCCCGUCCUUUAUCGUCCGCCUGGACUCCCAGAAGCACAUUGACUUCUCCCUCCGCUCCCCAUAUGGUGGAGGCCGCCCAGGCCGUGUGAAGAGGAAAAACGCCAAGAAGGGCCAGGGUGGGGCUGGAGCUGGUGAUGAUGAGGAGGAGGAUUAAGCCCCCCCACCCUCUCCUGGGUUGGGGACAUUAUCAAGUUUUCCAAUCA